GCGGAUAUGGCGGAACUGGCAGACGCGCCAGACUUAGGAUCUGGUGUCUUCAGACGUGCAGGUUCGACUCCUGUUAUCCGCACCA
rnacentral:tRNA from 1 species